CCCAACCCCCAGCUAGCGGAGCGUGUGCGGUGACCGACCUCCGCGCUCUGGACCUAGAGGAGGACGGAGCCGUCUGGCCGCCGCGGGCCUGUGCUUCCGCACCCCCCAGCUCUGCGCGUCGCCUGUCCCCGAGCGCCUCGCCUCCCAACUGUAAUCCCACACUCCCGCGAGCGCUGGGGCUGCGGAAUCGUUUGAGUUGGAACUGCAUCAGAUGAGAACGCCGGGAGGUGAGAUCGGGUAGGAAAUCGUCGAAACUUAAGAGUUGUGCGCCGUCGCCUCCCCCCCNUGUGCCCCCCCCCCCCCCCCCCCCCCCCCGCCCCGCACACACACAUAAUUUCCCCUCCCCCUUUCCAGCCGCCACCUCCCCCACCCUCUCGAUUCUUCAAGGUUUGCAGCCCAGUCCUGUCAUAUGGUUUUGUUUCUGUGCUGCUGCUUUUUUUCAGACACGAAAAUUGGACACGUGGAGAAUUAGCCGGGCUGGAGAAGCGCUGGGUGCAGACUCAAACAAUGGUUUCCAGCAGCGGAGCGAAAGGAGGCACCUUCCCACCUCACCCCCAAAGGCAGCGGCCUCAGCGUAUGGUGGGAAACACCCCCAUCAUUGCCCACCCCUCCCUCAGAGCCUAGGAAAGGUCCAGCGUGGACCCCUUCCCAAGACACACGCCCCUGGGGUGCGCCUGGACCGGCAUGCUGGCUCUGAGAUCAUUGUGCCUGGGGUCUUUGGGGACUUAUAAAUUAUAAGGGAUUCUUUUCCCCUGGGAAGGUGUGGCAUCAAAGACGCCACCCCAAAUACUAAAGUUUACGGACCCAACCGGGCUCCGGGCUCUCCACUCUUUGGCAAUUGUACCUUUCCUAGGCUGCUCGGAGCCUUCCCCCUUCUCGUCUGAUGAGCCAGUCUCCAGGUGGCUGGGCCUCCAGAGCAGCUUCCUUUAGCCAUUGUCUUCUCCGGAGGCCCCAUGCUCCACGGCAACCCCAACCUUGGCCCCCAGCUUCUGUGAGCCCCCCCCCCCACCAACCCUGACUCUGCUCCAUUGGCAGCAGCCACAGCCCUCACCCCCAAACAGCUCCACUCGCCCAAGCAGGCCUGAGCACCUCGCCCGGGCACACACACCCCGCAGCACAGAAGCUCUGCCUCCGGGAGCUGGUUUCCUCUUACAGGCUCCUGUCAGAGCUGUUGGGGCUGUGGCGGCGCUUGCCUGCGGCUCCCAGUGCAGCCCUGGGUCUCCCUGCAGCGUGUGCGGCAAGCUGUGAAUCGGUCUUCUCUUCCCUUCCUGCAAAGGUCAAGCCAUCUCCUCCAGCAUGGCCGUGGUGCACUUCUGGCCGCAGAGCUCCUACGCUGCAGCCUGGGUAUGGAGAUGGGGUGGGUAUCCAUGCAGGGGAGCAGUCCCCCCCCCAGCCCCGCGGCCCAAGCCAGUGGGGGGCAGGGACCAAGGGAUGUGAGAUUCAGGAAGGGAAACACAACACGGCAGACAGACCCCAAAAGCAGUUCAGGACUUGCAGCCUGAGACCGAAGAGAGGGAGAGAAACCCAGGCAAAGGCUGUUGGGCCUUGACUCCUGAAGGGGAGGCCUUCCCCCCCCCCAGGGGUUGCCCUAGGGGAAGGUGGGGAGAAAUGGCUGCAGUGUCCGCACUGUGUCCGGCGCAGGUCCUGGGGCCCCACCACCUCCCGUCAGGCUGUGCUUCGCUCCUAGCAGGAGUCAGAAGCAAGCAAACCGGCCAGGACUGAGAAUUCAGAGGCCACGGGUAUCAGGUCAGCGGCGGCGCCCCAAAGAGAGACCCCAAGAGAGGCCUUUCUUCCACCGCAACCCCAGGGAGGCUACUGAGUUCUGCAAAGCCGCAGGAAGACUACAACAUCCCGAUGGGGAGAAAAAUGAGAGGAAACGCCAUUAAACUUGCUUCCUCCAAGGGGCACUACCCCCAGUUUUCUCUGAACUGUACCUAAAAAGUCAGGAGAGAGAACUCAUUCACUUUUGUUUGGUUUAACAUUGCCAGCUUCAAGUCAACCGUGGGCCCCCCGAAGGUUUCGUAAAAUAUUUAAUCUAGCUCAGACAAUUUCCUGCAGUCCCUACCCGGACCACCCCACUUACUGAACAACUGCCAAAAAGCAGGCUUGACUGCGGGCUGGCAACCGCGGGCCUUCCAGCGGCCUGGCCGGCCUGUACCCUGCACGCAGGAGCCUGGACAAGGCCCUUCACAGAAUCCAGGGACACCAGGUCUGGGUUACCUGGGAGGCCCAAAGCGGUAAGGAAGGAAGAAGCCCAGGAAAUGAAGUUAAAGACACUUGCUUUUCUCACUAAGCUUGUGCUGUCUGUAUGACCCGCUGGCCCUCACCCUCCCCGAAGUCUGUGAAAUGGGCCUGUGGAUGUCUCACCUCUCUGGCGUGCUGUGCGUUUUGGAGAGCAGCACUGGGGGUGGGGUGGGGGGGAGGUGACUCCCUGUGUGCCGCCCUGCGCCCUCUACUCUCAUCCGUUCGCUGUUUUCCUCCCAAGCAUCUCACCAGGGAACCUAGCCAGCCAGAAAGGGAUCCUUCGACUGCGCUGAGCCUCAGCCCCUUCCAAACGUGAGGCUCACGGGGAGAACUCCUGCUCUGCCCAGUUUCCAUUCCUGCUUCCAGAAUAACGAGCCGAAAACAUGUGUACUGUAAAUAAAGCCUGUCUAAAUAAAGCACUCGGGUAAAGGCU
rnacentral:lncRNA from 1 species